rnacentral:lncRNA from 1 species
AGUGCUAGUCACUCAGUUGGGUUUAAUUCUGUGACCCCAUGGACUAUACCCUGCCAGGCUCCUCUGUCCAUGGAAUUCUUCAGGCAAGAAUACUGGAAUGGGUAGCCUUUCCCUUAUCCAGGGGAUCUUCCCCACCCAGGGAUCCAACCCAGGUCUGCUGCAUUGCAGGCGAUUCUUUACCAGCUGAGCCACAGGGAAGCCCAAUUAAUAAGGGCACUUUUAAAAGAGAGACAGACAGGAAAAAAAAAAGAUUCAAAGCAAAAAAUUAAAACCCCAAACCCCUCUACUGCCUUACCAAAAUUAUCCCUGAGAAACAAUUACAUCGGCUGCUCUAUUCCUACUGUGGAGUAAGGGCCCCGAAGACAACUGUGGAGGAGGGAGCUGCCUGGAUUUUGCCCACAUUCUGAGUCUCUAGCCUCAGUUAAGAAAGAAAAAAACCUGUAGCAAUUAACCGUAGGAUACUGCAUGUGUCCUUUCGGUUUCAUUACUCAGAAACCUCACCCAUAACACAUGGCUGUAAAAACCUGCUCGCCUUUCAACUUUUAAGGAGCAGAGCAGGUUUCCGGAGGAACCAGACUCAAGGGGAGCCCCAGGGAAGAGCCAAAGCAGCUGGGAAUUUGAUACCCCGGUGCUCCAAAGCUAAAAGAAGAAUUAGAAGAAAGCUGCAUGAAUAAAGAUGGGAUCCUUCAUGAUACAGAAAAGACCUCAGCAGAGCAGUACGAAAGAGAAGCAGCUAAGAGGGAAAAGGAUUCUCUUGAGCAAAAGAUUAAAGAGCUGCUACAAAUGUUAGAGAACCAAGAAAGAGCCUUCAAGAUAUUUAGAGUCAAAAUCACCAGCAAGAUGAGAGAAAGAGACAAGCUUCUGAGAAGGAUGAACAAGAGGAUUGAGAGGCUGGAGAUCUUAAGAAAGAUAAGGGAAGAACAAGAGGAAUACUACAUGAAGAAAGAGGAGCAGAUCAAAAGAGAGGCAAGUGAGAGGGAAAAAGACCCUUCUGAGCGAAAGGUUAAAGAGCUGCAGCGACAGUUGGAGAACCAAAAGAGAGUUUUGGAGAGAUUAACAGCCAGAGUGAGAAAGGAGAUAAGAGAAAGAGAGAAGACCUCAGCAGAAGAGUGGGCCAGAGGAGAGGCAACUGAGAGGGCAAAGGAACCUCUUGAACAAAAGGCUAAAGAAUUACAGUCAAAGAUGGAGGGCGACAGAAGUGCCAUCUUGAAGGAAGUUAGACUCAAAACGACAAAGAUGAGAGAAAGAGAAAACCUUCUAAGAAGGAUGAACGAGAGGUUUGAGAUGUUGGAGAUCUUGGGGAUGAUAAAGGACGAGCUAGGGGAAUGCUGCAAGAAGACAGAUGAGCUUUGUAAUGCAGCCAAGACCUUGGCAGAAGAGUAUGCCAAGAGAGUGGCAGCUGAGAGGGAAAAGGAACUUCUUGAGCAAAAGGUUAAAGAGCUGCAAGAACAGCUGGAAGACCAAGAAAGGGUCUCUGAGGAAUUAGGAGUCAAAAAGACAGAGAAGCAAAGAGAAAGAGAAAAGACAUCAGCAGAAAUGCUGGCCCAAUGGGAGGAUGCUAUGUGGGAAAAGAAGCAAAUGGUUAAAGAAUUGCAGCAAAAGUUGGAGGACCGAGAAAAAACGUUCGAGAGAUUUAGAGACAAACUCACAAAGGAAAUGAGAGAAAGAGACGACCUUCUGAGAAAGAUGAAUGAGAGGAUUCAGAUGCUGGAACGCUUACUGAGGUUACUAGAAACACUAGAGGAACAGGACAUGAAGAAAGAAGAGCAGGCCAAAAGAGAGGCAGCUGAAAGGGAAAACGAGCCUCUUGAACAAAAGGUUAAAGAACUGCAGCAAAAAUCGGAGAACCAAGAAAAAGUCUUCGAAGUAUUAAGAGACAAAAUGACAGAGGAGUUGAAUGAAAGAGAGAAAGCCUCAGCAGAAGAGCAGAUCAGAAGAGAGGCUGUUGAGAGGGAAAAUGAGUCUCUUGAAAAACAGGUUAAAGAAUUGCAGCAAAAUUUGGAGGACCAAGGAAGAGUCUUCCAGAGAUUAAGAACUGAAAUGACAGAGGAGAUGAGAGAAAGUGAAAACGUCUCAGCAGAAGAGCAGAUCAGACGAGAGGCCACUGAGAGGGAAAAGGAGUCUCUUGAAAAACAGGUUAAAGAAUUGCAGCAAAAUUUGGAGGACCAAGGAAGAGUCUUCCAGAAAUUAAGAACUGAAAUGACAGAGGAGAUGAGAGAAAAUGAAAAGGCCUCAGCAGAAGAGCAGGCCAAAAGAGAGGCUGCUGAGAGGGAAAAGCUUUUAGAGCAAAAGCUUAAAGAAUUGCAACAAAAGUUUGAGGACCAAGAAAGAGCCUUCAAGGUAUUUAGAGUCCAAAUGACAGAAAAGGUGAGAGAAAGAGACAAUUUUCUGAGAAAGAUGAAUGAGAGGAUUGAGAUGCUGGAGGCUGCAGUGAACAAUGAUAAUGACAAGGAUAAUGAGGAAAACACUGAAAAGUACUGAACUUCAUAGACACAGGAAGAUAAUGACAAAGAAAAUACUUCACAGCCUUUUGUUUUAAUCUCAGUUUGGGAGAAUAUAAAACAUGUGUGGUCACUAAUUACUCAGAUUUUUUGUUUGUUUCUUUUAAAUUCUGGUAAUAUUAAAGUUUUCACAAGUGCUUUUUUGAUCUGGAUUAUUUCUAUCUAUGUAUGUACUUUUUCUUUUAUCAUUAAAGUUUUAAUGUAAAAAAUAGAAAAAUCAUCUACUAUAGAACAUCAAUUCCUGGCCCACAAAGGAAAGAAUUAGUGUGGCUGGAUAAUUAAUUUAAGUGGAAAUGGAAGCAACUGAGUAGAAGACAAAGAGGUCAAAUUUGUAAUAUCUUGAAAAAAAGAAAAAUUUUAUUAAGUAAUGCUUCUGAAAGUCACAUAUGAAUAAUUAUACAAAUGAAUAUGUAUACUGGUUUCUUGAGAGGAAAGGACUAAUUUCUUAUACAAAACAACUGUGUUACUUCACUUGUAAAUUUUAUGUGUUUUGAGUUAAAAUUUCACAAAAGCUGAUUGUAAAUUUUAAAUUGAGCUGAUCAAACACAUUAAAAAGCCAUGAAAAUUCAGAAGGGGUACAGGGUUUGGGAAGUUUUCAGCCAUAAUUUCUUCUAUAAAUGAAGUUUAUAGAACUGCAGUCAUUAGAACAAUGUGCCAUCAAGGCAUAAAUCUGAAGACAAAGAAUAACAGCAUGCUGCAUAGUCUAAAAAUAGAACCAACAACAUACCUGAUUAAGGUUGUGUGAAUAGUGUUGUUUCAGAUCAGUGAGACAAUAUAAACAGUACAUGAAGUGCUGUCAGUCUACUGGACAGCCAUAUAGAAUGAGAGUGCCUAGAUCGCUUAUAAAUCUUGCACAAAUAAUAUUCCAGCUUGACUUUAGAUUUAAACAUUAAAAAUAAUCUUGAUAAAAACAGUAAAUGUCAGAUAAUUAUAAAAUAAAUGUGGAAACUUGAAUUUAUUUUUAAGUGAC